UACGUAGGGGGCGAGCGUUGUCCGGAUUUAUUGGGCGUAAAGAGCUCGUAGGCGGUCUGUCGCGUCGGCUGUGAAAUCCCGAGGCUCAACCUCGGGUCUGCAGUCGAUACGGGCAAACUAGAGUAUUGCAGGGGAGACUGGAAUUCCUGGUGUAGCGGUGAAAUGCGCAGAUAUCAGGAGGAACACCGGUGGCGAAGGCGGGUCUCUGGGCAAUAACUGACGCUGAGGAGCGAAAGCGUGGGGAGCGAACAGG
rnacentral:rRNA from 1 species